GGAAAAAAAUCCAAACGACAGACACAGUGUAUAGAAAAACAAGAACAGUGAAAGACGGCAACGAUACAGACAAAAGAAAAAAAUAAAGAUUUUAUUAUUGUAUACAUUUAUUUUUUAUUUUCUUAUAAAAAAUAGUAAUUAAUCUAAAAUAAAAUUACACCACCAACAACAACCCCAAACAAAUAACAGCAAUAUAAAUAAAAAGUUAAGAAAAAACGGGGAAAUUUAUUCCCUCCUCAAAAAAAAGCGAAAGUGUUUAGUUAAACUUACAAAUUAAACAAAUCGUAAAAAUUUAUAUAAAGUUUUUACACAAAAAAAAAAAAGAAGAAGACUGAAAAAAAACAGUAAUAAGAAAAAAAUUAUAACAAAAUGUGUGGAGGUUUUACAUGUUCGAAAAAUGCAUUAAUUGCUUUAAAUAUUUUAUAUGUGCUGGUUGGUUUCCUGUUAAUUGGCGUUGGCGUUUAUGCUCGUGCUGCUUCAAUUGUUACAAAUCUUCCUAUAGUUGGCGGUAUAUUGGCAUGUGGUAUAAUUUUAAUAUUAAUUUCCAUACUGGGCCUGGUUGGUGCCGUUAAACAUCAUCAAGUUAUGCUGUUUUUCUACAUGAUCAUUUUGUUUUUGCUCUUCCUGAUACAAUUCUCCAUUGCCAGCUCUUGUUUGGCUGUUAAUUCCGAACAGCAACAAGAAUUUGCUGAAGAAGGAUGGAAUCGUGUACCCGACUCUAUGCGCAAACAGGUUCAGGAUACUUUCCUUUGCUGUGGCUUUAAUUCGACUAGCACCUCGACCUCGGCCGAUGUCUCGUGUGAUGUUAUUCAAAAGCAAUGUUGCGGCUCAUCGUAUGAUCUUAAUUGUCAGUGUUCACCCUGUUUGCCUAAGUUGGAGGAUAAAAUCAAUUAUGCCUUUAAAUUGUGCGGUGGUUUGGGUAUAUUCUUUAGUUUUACAGAGUUUAUUGGUGUUUGGCUAACUGUACGUUAUCGUAAUCAAAAAGAUCCUCGCGGUUUACCCAGUGCAUUUCUUUAAAUUCAUUUAAAUAAUUGUAACACUAAACAAAACUAAAAUUAAAUAACAACAAACAUUCUAAUCUUAAAAUCUUCUAGUCAGUCCAUGAAAUGACACAUUUCUCUUAAAAUUUUCAAAAAAAAUCUCCAAAUCUUUUUACUACACACACAUUUUCACACACAGACAUACAAUAAUUAGUAUUUUAGGGCUAUUUUAAAGAAAUAUUUAAAAAAUAAAAAUAUAAUUAUAAUUAAAUAAACAAAAUUAUGUUUAUUAAACAAAUAUUUAUUAUACAUUACAUACAUACAUGCAUACAUAUACGUGAAAAUAUAAUUAAUAUUUAUUCAUAAAAUUAUCAUAAAUUAAUCAAUCAUACAUUAUAUACAAAUGAAAACAUGCAUUCUAAUACUUAAUUAUAUACGAAUUAUUAUACGAUACAUAAUAAUCAUUAAUAACAUUAUUACAUUUUCAUACUUCAUUUAUAAACAAUAUAUUAUUAUAAUUAUAAACAAAUUAAAACCGAAUGAAAAAAUACAAUUUAUUACGUAUAAUUUUAGUUUUUAAGUCAAAAAUAUUUAUUACUUCAUAUUAAAAAAAAACUUGUAUCUCUACUUAUGAGUUUAAACACAAUUGCAGCGUUGCGUUUUAAAUUGAAGAAGAAUUCCUUUCUCGUUGUAAUUUCCUUUGAAGUCUUAACCAAUUGCGUUUAUUCUCUUGUACAGCCUUCGUUUUGUAUUUUUUUUAAAUAGAAAGUCAUGUAAACAAUUAUUUUAUAAGAACUUUUUAUUAAUCCACCAAGUUUUUUAUCAUAGCACUAACUUUACCCGGGUUUCAUUAAGCUUUUUUUUAAUAUAAAAUACAUUAAUAUAAAUCAUCAGAAUUAAUCAAAUUAACUACUUUUUAUGAAUGUUUUUGGAAGUAUAUUACUUUGCAUACUUUUUCACACAAUCUAACUUUAAUCUUGAGAACCAUCAAUUAUUGGGUACUUGCUGUCUUUUUAGCCCGUCGUUAUCGCAAUCAACAAGAUCCUCAUUAUCUACCUGCUCGUGCAAUAUUUCCCCACAAUUAUUUAUAUUAAAGAUCAAAUCCAAAAACAUAUAACAUAACUAGGCAUAUUAUAAAAAUUUUUUAUUGAAAAUAUCAGGAUUCAAGUAGUUUAGUUAAAAGAUACAAUUUUUUAAAGGUUACUAAUUAAUUUUUAAAGUUUUAGUUUUUGUUUUACUUUUUUUGUAAUUUAAUUUAUUAGUCAAAAUGGGACGAAGGCUGAUUAUUGUUUAAUAAUAAAUGAAAAAUCUUUAAUAAAACAAAUUACUAAAUUA
rnacentral:misc_RNA from 1 species